rnacentral:rRNA from 1 species
UACGAACUGUGCAAACGUUAUUCGGAAUCACUGGGCUUACAGGGUGCGUAGGCGGCUUGUUAAGUAGGGUGUGAAAGCCCCCGGCUCAACCGGGGAAUUGCGCUCUAAACUGGCGAGCUGGAGUGAGAUAGGGGUGUGUGGAACUUCCGGUGGAGCGGUGAAAUGUGUUGAUAUCGGAAGGAACGCCGGUAGCGAAAGCGACACACUGGGUCUUUACUGACGCUGAGGCACGAAAGCCAGGGGAGCGAACGGG